rnacentral:rRNA from 1 species
UACGUAGGGUGCGAGCGUUGUCCGGAAUUAUUUGGGCGUAAAGGGCUCGUAGGCGGUUUGUCGCGUCGGGAGUGAAAUCCACUGGCUUAACUGGUGGCUUUGCUUUCGAUACGGGCAGACUGGAGGUAUGCAGGGGAGAACGGAAUUCCUGGUGUAGCGGUGAAAUGCGCAGAUAUCAGGAGGAACACCGGUGGCGAAGGCGGUUCUCUGGGCAUGUCCUGACGCUGAGGAGCGAAAGUGUGGGGAGCGAACAGG